rnacentral:rRNA from 1 species
GACGAAGGGGGCUAGCGUUGUUCGGAAUUACUGGGCGUAAAGCGCGCGUAGGCGGACCUGCAAGUCGGGGGUGAAAGCCCGAGGCUCAACCUCGGAACUGCCUUCGAUACUGCGGGUCUCGAGUCCGGGAGAGGUGAGUGGAAUUCCUAGUGUAGAGGUGAAAUACGUAGAGAUUGGGAAGAACACCAGUGGCGAAGGCGGCUAUCUGGACGGUUUCUGACGCUAAGACGCGAAAGCGUGGGGAGCAAACAGG